rnacentral:rRNA from 1 species
CCAAGUUUUUAAGGGCGCACGGUGGAUGCCUUGGCACCAGGAACCGAUGAAGGACGUGGGAGGCCACGAUAGUCCCCGGGGAGUCGUCAACCAGGCUUUGAUCCGGGGGUUUCCGAAUGGGGAAACCCGGCAGUCGUCAUGGGCUGUCACCCGCUGCUGAACACAUAGGCAGUGUGGAGGGAACGCGGGGAAGUGAAACAUCUCAGUACCCGCAGGAAGAGAAAACAACCGUGAUUCCGGGAGUAGUGGCGAGCGAAACCGGAUGAGGCCAAACCGUAUGCGUGUGAGACCCGGCAGGGGUUGCGUAUACGGGGUUGUGGGAUCUCUCUUUCACGGUCUGCCGGCUGUGAGACGAGUCAGAAACCGUUGAUGUAGGCGAAGGACAUGCGAAAGGUCCGGCGUAGAGGGUAAGACCCCCGUAGUCGAAACGUCAGCGGCUCGUUUGAGAGACACCCAAGUAGCACGGGGCCCGAGAAAUCCCGUGUGAAUCUGGCGGGACCACCCGCUAAGCCUAAAUAUUCCCUGGUGACCGAUAGCGGAUAGUACCGUGAGGGAAUGGUGAAAAGUACCCCGGGAGGGGAGUGAAAUAGUACCUGAAACCGUGUGCCUACAAGCCGUGGGAGCGUCGGAACAAGGCUUGCCUUGUUCUCGUGACUGCGUGCCUUUUGAAGAAUGAGCCUGCGAGUUUGCGGUGUGUUGCGAGGUUAACCCGGGUGGGGAAGCCGUAGCGAAAGCGAGUCCGAAUAGGGCGCUGUAGUAGCACGCUCAAGACCCGAAGCGGAGUGAUCUAGCCAUGGGCAGGUUGAAGCGGAGGUAAGACUUCGUGGAGGACCGAACCCACCAGGGUUGAAAACCUGGGGGAUGACCUGUGGUUAGGGGUGAAAGGCCAAUCAAACUCCGUGAUAGCUGGUUCUCCCCGAAAUGCAUUUAGGUGCAGCGUCGUGUGUUUCUUGCCGGAGGUAGAGCACUGGAUAGGCGAUGGGCCCUACCGGGUUACUGACCUUAGCCAAACUCCGAAUGCCGGUAAGUGAGAGCGCGGCAGUGAGACUGUGGGGGAUAAGCUCCAUGGUCGAGAGGGAAACAGCCCAGAGCAUCGACUAAGGCCCCUAAGCGUACGCUAAGUGGGAAAGGAUGUGGAGUCGCACAGACAACCAGGAGGUUGGCUUAGAAGCAGCCACCCUUGAAAGAGUGCGUAAUAGCUCACUGGUCUAGUGAUUCCGCGCCGACAAUGUAGCGGGGCUCAAGCGUACCGCCGAAGUCGUGUCAUUCACACAAUAGCCCCAACGGGUGUGUGGAUGGGUAGGGGAGCGUCGUCUGCCGGGUGAAGCAGCCGUGUAAGCGAGUUGUGGACGGUUGACGAGUGAGAAUGCAGGCAUGAGUAGCGAUUCACACGUGAGAAACGUGUGCGCCGAUUGACUAAGGGUUCCUGGGUCAAGCUGAUCUGCCCAGGGUAAGUCGGGACCUAAGGCGAGGCCGACAGGCGUAGUCGAUGGAUAACCGGUUGAUAUUCCGGUACCCGCUGUGAAGCGUCAAACAUCGAGCAUCGUGAUGCUAAGGCCGUGAAGCCGCCCCUGAUCUCUUCGGAGUGAGGGGGAGUGGUGGAGCCGCUGAACCAAGCGGUUAGUAGGUGAGUGAUGGGGUGACGCAGGAAGGUAGUCCAGCCCGGGCGGUGGUUGUCCCGGGGUAAGGGUGUAGGCCGUGCGGUAGGUAAAUCCGUCGCACACAGGGCUGAGACCUGAUGCCGAGCCGAUUGUGGUGAAGUGGAUGAUCCUAUGCUGUCGAGAAAAGCCUCUAGCGAGUUUCAUGGCGGCCCGUACCCUAAACCGACUCAGGUGGUCAGGUAGAGAAUACCGAGGCGUUCGGGUGAACUAUGGUUAAGGAACUCGGCAAAAUGCCCCCGUAACUUCGGGAGAAGGGGGGCCACAUCUGGUGAUGAGCUUCGCGCUCUGAGCUGGGGGUGGCCGCAGAGACCAGCGAGAAGCGACUGUUUACUAAAAACACAGGUCCGUGCGAAGCCGUAAGGCGAUGUAUACGGACUGACGCCUGCCCGGUGCUGGAACGUUAAGGGGACCGGUUAGCUCCAUUUCGGUGGGGCGAAGCUGAGAACUUAAGCGCCAGUAAACGGCGGUGGUAACUAUAACCAUCCUAAGGUAGCGAAAUUCCUUGUCGGGUAAGUUCCGACCUGCACGAAUGGCGUAACGACUUCUCGACUGUCUCAACCAUAGGCCCGGUGAAAUUGCACUACGAGUAAAGAUGCUCGUUUCGCGCAGCAGGACGGAAAGACCCCGGGACCUUUACUACAGUUUGAUAUUGGUGUUCGGUUCGGCUUGUGUAGGAUAGCUGGGAGACUGUGAAGCGCUAACGCCAGUUAGUGUGGAGUCGUCGUUGAAAUACCAGUCUGGUCGUGCUGGAUGUCUAACCUGGGUCCGUGAUCCGGAUCAGGGACAGUGUCUGAUGGGUAGUUUAACUGGGGCGGUUGCCUCCUAAAGGGUAACGGAGGCGCCCAAAGGUUCCCUCAGCCUGGUUGGCAAUCAGGUGUUGAGUGUAAGUGCACAAGGGAGCUUGACUGUGAGACCGACGGGUCGAGCAGGGACGAAAGUCGGGACUAGUGAUCCGGCGGUGGCUUGUGGAAGCGCCGUCGCUCAACGGAUAAAAGGUACCCCGGGGAUAACAGGCUGAUCUUCCCCAAGAGUCCAUAUCGACGGGAUGGUUUGGCACCUCGAUGUCGGCUCGUCGCAUCCUGGGGCUGGAGUCGGUCCCAAGGGUUGGGCUGUUCGCCCAUUAAAGCGGUACGCGAGCUGGGUUUAGAACGUCGUGAGACAGUUCGGUCCCUAUCCGCUGUGCGCGUAGGAGUCUUGAGAAGGGCUGUCCCUAGUACGAGAGGACCGGGACGGACGAACCUCUGGUGUGCCAGUUGUUCUGCCAAGGGCAUGGCUGGUUGGCUACGUUCGGGAGGGAUAACCGCUGAAAGCAUCUAAGCGGGAAGCCUGCUUCGAGAUGAGGACUCCCACCCACUUGAUGGGGUAAGGCUCCCAGUAGACGACUGGGUUGAUAGGCCGGAUAUGGAAGCACGGUAACGUGUGGAGUUGACCGGUACUAAUAGGCCGAGGGCUUGUCCUC